rnacentral:rRNA from 1 species
UAGUCCGCACGAGCGCACCCCUAUCCUUAGUUGCCAGCAUUUAGUUGGGCACUCUAGGAGACUGCCGGUGACAAACCGGAGGAAGGUGGGGAUGACGUCAAGUCAUCAUGGCCCUUAUGUGUAGGGCUACACACGUGCUACAAUGGCCAGUACAAAGGGUUGCCAACCCGCGAGGGGGAGCUAAUCCCAUAAAGCUGGUCGUAGUCCGGAUUGGAGUCUGCAACUCGACUCCAUGAAGUCGGAAUCGCUAGUAAUCGUAGAUCAGAAUUGCUACGGUGAAUACGUUCCCGGGCCUU